GAUGAAGAACGCAGCGAAAUGCGAUAAGUAAUGUGAAUUGCAGAAUUCAGUGAAUCAUCGAAUCUUUGAACGCACAUUGCGCCCGCUAGUAUUCUGGCGGGCAUGCCUGUCCGAGCGUCAUUUCAACCCUCAAGCCCCCGGGCUUGGUGUUGGGGAUCGGCGAGCCUCCGCGCCCGCCGUCCCCUAAAUAUAGUGGCGGUCUCGCUGUAGCUUCCUCUGCGUAGUAGCACACCUCGCACUGGGAAACAGCGCGGCCACGCCGUUAAACCCCCAACUUCUGAACGUUUGACCUCGGAUCAGGUAGGAAUACCCGCUGAACUUAAGCAUAUCAAUAAGCGGAGGA
rnacentral:misc_RNA from 1 species